rnacentral:rRNA from 1 species
CCCGCUAGACCGGGAUAACGUAGGGAAACUUACGCUAAUACCGUGAUAGGGCACCUUCUCGCAUGAUAGGGUGCGGAAAGGUGGCGCAAGCUACCACUUGCGGAUGGGCCUGCGGCGCAUUAUCUAGUUGGUGGGGUAACGGCCUACCAAGGAGACGAUGCCUAGCCGACCUGAAAGGGUGACCGGCCACACUGGGACUGAGACACGGCCCACACUCCUACGGGAGGCAGCAGUGGG